rnacentral:rRNA from 1 species
AACCUUUCCAGCCAAGUCGCGUGAAGGAAGAAUGUCUUAUGGAUUGUAAACUUCUUUUGCAGGAGAAUAAAGUGGGAUACGUGUUAUCCCUUUGUAGGUAUCCUGCGAAUAAGGAUCGGCUAACUCCGUGCCAGCAGCCGCGGUAAUACGGAGGAUCCGAGCGUUAUCCGGAUUUAUUGGGUUUAAAGGGUGCGUAGGCGGUUUGUUAAGUCAGUGGUGAAAGGUUUGCGCUUAACGUAGACAUUGCCAUUGAAACUGGCAGACUUGAGUACAAAUGAGGUAGGCGGAAUGUGUUGUGUAGCGGUGAAAUGCAUAGAUAUGACACAGAACACCAAUUGCGAAGGCAGCUUACUGGGAUGUAACUGACGCUGAUGCACGAAAGCGUGGGGAUCAAACAGGAUUAGAUACCCUGGUAGUCCACGCAGUAAACGAUGAUUACUAGCUGUUGGCGAUAGAAUGUUAGUGGCUAAGCGAAAGCGAUAAGUAAUCCACCUGGGGAGUACGACCCGCAAGGUUGAAACUCAAAGGAAUUGACGGGGGCCCGCACAAGCGGAGGAACAUGUGGUUUAAUUCGAUGAUACGCGAGGAACCUUACCCGGGCUUGAAAUGUACCCGAAUAGACUGGAAACAAGUUUAAGCCAGCAAUGGCGGGUAUGUAGGUGCUGCAUGGUUGUCGUCAGCUCGUGCCGUGAGGUGUCGGCUUAAGUGCCAUAAC